AARCCUGAUGCAGCGACGCCGCGUGAGGGAUGACGGCCUUCGGGUUGUAAACCUCUUUCAGCWGGKAAGAAGCUUUUGUGACGGUACCUGCAGAAGAAGCACCGGCUAACUACGUGCCAGCAGCCGCGGUAAUACGUAGGGUGCGAGCGUUGUCCGGAAUUAUUGGGCGUAAAGAGCUUGUAGGCGGUUUGUCGCGUCUGCUGUGAAAAUUCAGGGCUUAACCCUGGACGUGCAGUGGGUACGGGCAGACUAGAGUAUGGUAGGGGAGACUGGAAUUCCUGGUGUAGCGGUGGAAUGCGCAGAUAUCAGGAGGAACACCGAUGGCGAAGGCAGGUCUCUGGGCCAUUACUGACGCUGAGAAGCGAAAGCAUGGGGAGCGAACAGGAUUAGAUACCCUGGUAGUCCAUGCCGUAAACGUUGGGCGCUAGGCGUGGGUCUCAUUCCACGAGAUCCGUGUCGCAGCUAACGCAUUAAGCGCCCCGCCUGGGGAGUACGGCCGCAAGGCUAAAACUCAAAGGAAUUGACGGGGGCCCGCACAAGCGGCGGAGCAUGCUGAUUAAUUCGAUGCAACGCGAAGAACCUUACCAAGGCUUGACAUGCACCGGAUCGCCUCAGAGAUGGGGUUUCCCUUUGGGCUGGUGCACAGGUGGUGCAUGGUUGUCGUCAGCUCGUGUCGUGAGAUGUUGGGUUAAGUCCCGCAACGAGCGCAACCCUCGUUCUAUGUUGCCAGCACGUAAUGG
rnacentral:rRNA from 1 species